GAUGAACGCUGGCGGCGUGCCUAAUACAUGCAAGUCGAGCGAACAGACGAGGAGCUUGCUCCUCUGACGUUAGCGGCGGACGGGUGAGUAACACGUGGAUAACCUACCUAUAAGACUGGGAUAACUUCGGGAAACCGGAGCUAAUACCGGAUAAUAUAUUGAACCGCAUGGUUCAAUAGUGAAAGACGGUUUUGCUGUCACUUAUAGAUGGAUCCGCGCUGCAUUAGCUAGUUGGUAAGGUAACGGCUUACCAAGGCAACGAUGCGUAGCCGACCUGAGAGGGUGAUAGGCCACACUGGAACUGAGACACGGUCCAGACUCCUACGGGAGGCAGCAGUAGGGAAUCGUCCGCAAUGGGCGAAAGCCUGACGGAGCAACGCCGCGUGAGUGAUGAAGGUCUUCGGAUCGUAAAACUCUGUUAUUAGGGAAGAACAAAUGUGUAAGUAACUGUGCACGUCUUGACGGUACCUAAUCAGAAAGCCACGGCUAACUACGUG
rnacentral:rRNA from 1 species